GAUGAACGCUGGCGGCGUGCCUAACACAUGCAAGUCGAACGGAGUAUUUCGGAUGAAGUUUUCGGAUGGAUUUUGAGAUACUUAGUGGCGGACGGGUGAGUAACGCGUGGGCAACCUGCCCCAUACCGGGGGAUAACAGCCGGAAACGGCUGCUAAAACCGCAUACGAUGCAGAAGUCGCAUGACUACUGCAUGAAAUAUUCAUAGGUAUGGGAUGGGCCCGCGUCUGAUUAGCUAGUUGGUGAGGUAACGGCUCACCAAGGCGACGAUCAGUAGCCGGCUUGAGAGAGUGACCGGCCACAUUGGGACUGAGACACGGCCCAAACUCCUACGGGAGGCAGCAGUGGGGAAUAUUGCACAAUGGGGAAACCCUGAUGCAGCGACGCCGCGUGAGUGAAGAAGUAUUUCGGUAUGUAAAGCUCUAUCAGCAGGGAAGAAGAAAGACGGUACCUGACUAAGAAGCCCGGCUAACUACGUGCCAGCAGCCGAC
rnacentral:rRNA from 1 species